AGCGCCUGCGAAGGACGAAGCGCCACCUGUAGCAUGGUCUUGCAGGCGGCCAGGCGGCGUACCGUCCGGUGAACGCAAACUUUUGCGAUUCAAACC
rnacentral:sRNA from 1 species